ACGCUCGACACCUACGGGGGCAGCAGUAGGGAAUCUUCCACAAUGGACGCAAGUCUGAUGGAGCAACGCCGCGUGAGUGAAGAAGGUUUUCGGAUCGUAAAGCUCUGUUGUUGGUGAAGAAGGAUAGAGGUAGUAACUGGCCUUUAUUUGACGGUAAUCAACCAGAAAGUCACGGCUAACUACGUGCCGCAGCCGCGGUAAUCUGAGCGGGCUGGCAAGGC
rnacentral:rRNA from 1 species